AUACUCACCUGGUGCCCGAGCCAGGUUGAUCAGGGAGGAUAAGCCCCCCGGGCAAGGCGCGGGCAUUGCCCUGCGCUCGCGUUGACCCCUGCCACUACUCCAAACUGGAGCACGUGGGGCACGUACAUUAAC
rnacentral:snRNA from 1 species